rnacentral:rRNA from 1 species
GUUGUAUAGUUAAGUGACUAAGCGUACAAGGUGGAUGCCUUGGCAAUCAGAGGCGACGAAGGACGUGCUAAUCUGCGAAAAGCUUGGAUGAGUCGAUAAGAGGCGUUUAAUCCAAGAUGUCCGAAUGGGGAAACCCAGUAGAUGAAGAAUCUACUAUCACUUACUGAAUACAUAGGCAAGUGAAGCAAACCGGGAGAACUGAAACAUCUAAGU